GAUGAACGCUGGCGGCGUGCCUAAUACAUGCAAGUCGAGCGAACAGACGAGUAGCUUGCUCCUCUGACGUUAGCGGCGGACGGGUGAGUAACACGUGGAUAACCUACCUAUAAGACUGGGAUAACUUCGGGAAACCGGAGCUAAUACCGUAUAAUAUAUUUAACCGUAUGGUUCAAUAGUGAAAGACGGUUUUGCUUUCACUUAUAGAUGGAUCCGCGCCGCAUUAGCUAGUUGGUAAGGUAACGGCUUACCAAGGCAACGAUGCGUAGCCGAACUGAGAGGGUGAUCGGCCACACUGGAACGGAGACACGGUACAGACUCCUACGGGAGGCAGCAGUAGGGAAUCUGCCGCAAUGGGCGAAAGCCUGACGGAGAAACGCCGCGUGAGUGAUGAAGGUCUUCGGAUCGUAAAACACUGUUAUUAGGGAAGAACAAAUGUGUAAGUAACUAUGAACGUAUUGACGGUACCUAAUCAGAAAGCCACGGCUAACUAAGUG
rnacentral:rRNA from 1 species